UACAGAGGUCUCAAGCGUUGUUCGGAUUCAUUGGGCGUAAAGGGUGCGUAGGCGGCGCGGUAAGUCGGGUGUGAAAUCUCGGAGCUUAACUCCGAAACUGCAUUCGAUACUGCCGUGCUUGAGGACUGGAGAGGAGACUGGAAUUUACGGUGUAGCGGUGAAAUGCGUAGAUAUCGUAAGGAAGACCAGUGGCGAAGGCGGGUCUCUGGACAGUUCCUGACGCUGAGACACGAAAGCGUGGGGAGCAAACAGG
rnacentral:rRNA from 1 species